ACCAAUAUUAUUCCAAUAUCAUCUUGCAUACCAGUUUUUGGUGAUGUGCUUCGUACUGUCUCACAGGCCAGUGUCUUUCAGUGUGGAGGAUAUGGUGCUGGAGGCUGUUGUGGUAUUGUCCACUCUAGUGAUUGCAGCCAGCGAGAAUCCGUCACAGGUUUCUAUUGUACAGGAAGCUCCAGUGCCAAGGAACAUCAGUGAUGUCUGUCCAGCAAGCACCCCCAUAGCUGACAAUUCCGUAGCAAACAUCUCCAAACACGAGGGUCCUUUAGAGGCAGAGGUUGCUUGCGUGCCAUCCGAGAAUUCAACUUUCCCUCUUGGGGAGCAGGUGGCCUCCAGCCAGGGAAGCCCAGUCUUCUUCCCAGCCUCCUUCCACAUGAAAAAUCUCUUGCAACUCCACAGAGAAGAAAUGGACCUUUUAAGACCUAAAGGGAUGCAUUCUCUGCUCUUUGGAGCCGUAUCAAGCAGCAUGGCAGAUGGCAUUGCAUCAGAACUGCCCAGCCUGGUGUGCGCCAGUGACACCGAGGAUGAUGCUGGAGAUGAUGGCGUCAGAGUGGAAGAGUAA
ensembl:lncRNA